UGCUGAUUUGCUGACGAGUGGCGGACGGGUGAGUAAUGUCUGGGAAACUGCCUGAUGGAGGGGGAUAACUACUGGAAACGGUAGCUAAUACCGCAUAACGUCGCAAGACCAAAGAGGGGGACCUUCGGGCCUCUUGCCAUCGGAUGUGCCCAGAUGGGAUUAGCUAGUAGGUGGGGUAACGGCUCACCUAGGCGACGAUCCCUAGCUGGUCUGAGAGGAUGACCAGCCACACUGGAACUGAGACACGGUCCAGACUCCUACGGGAGGCAGCAGUGGGGAAUAUUGCACAAUGGGCGCAAGCCUGAUGCAGCCAUGCCGCGUGUAUGAAGAAGGCCUUCGGGUUGUAAAGUACUUUCAGCGGGGAGGAAGGGAGUAAAGUUAAUACCUUUGCUCAUUGACGUUACCCGCAGAAGAAGCACCGGCUAACUCCGUGCCAGCAGCCGCGGUAAUACGGAGGGUGCAAGCGUUAAUCGGAAUUACUGGGCGUAAAGCGCACGCAGGCGGUUUGUUAAGUCAGAUGUGAAAUCCCCGGGCCCAACCUGGGAACUGCAUCUGAUACUGGCAAGCUUGAGUCUCGUAGAGGGGGGUAGAAUUCCAGGUGUAGCGGUGAAAUGCGUAGAGAUCUGGAGGAAUACCGGUGGCGAAGGCGGCCUCCUGGACGAAGACUGACGCUCAGGUGCGAAAGCG
rnacentral:rRNA from 1 species